UAUAUAUAUAUACACAUAAAGCACACGCGCGUGCACACAAUAUAUAUGUACUGACAUGCAGAGAUAAAUAUAUAUAUAUAAGCAUAUAUAUAAAUAUUUGUUUUUGGCUUUAAACCUUUCCUUACACGUAACCUCACCUCGCUUCUCCGUUUUCAUCCAUCAACAUAAAAUAAAUUUGAAGCUAUAAAAAUAGAAUUUAAAAGAAAAAUAAAAACAAGUAAAUAGUCUCCGUCGGGUUGAAUCCUUCAUAAAAUUUCUUAUUAAAAAAAACUCACUAGUUAGAUUUAAUUUUUAAGGACUUCUAAUAGCAACUUGCACCUUCACCUAAAUUUAAAUGAAAAGGGGGGUCGGAGCUCCUCUCGACAUUCAAAUUUCCCUCUCUCUCAGCUUUAAACCUUUUCUAAAUCUACGUGUAAACACAUGCAUGAUGUGAAUGAGGAAUUAAAUCAAAAUAGCAAAGGAAGGAGAAGUGAAAAGCUCACCGGCGUUGGCUUCUUUCUCCGGCAAACCAGCACCUCGAUUCUCCACUAAACUCGAUUACUCUUCUCUCUUCUCCAUCAUGUUUCUUCUCGACAAGGGGGUAGUGGACCACUCUAUCCAUACUUGCCCCUAAAUUUCAUAGUUGUCCAAUCUUUGCGUGCAUGGCAACAAAAGGACUAUAGGAUCAAGCCUCACUAAUGGUGAUUUCAUACUUUUUAUCCGAGCAAAAUCUGGGCCGUUGGAUCUCUCUACUCCUUAAAUCGGG
rnacentral:lncRNA from 1 species